rnacentral:rRNA from 1 species
UUCUUUAAGUAAUAAUUUAAAGUAAAACCUGCUCAAUGAAAUUAAAUCAAUAGCCGCAGUUAACUGUGCUAAGGUAGCAUAAUCACUUGCUUCUUAAUUAGAAGAUAGUAUGAAAGGUUACACGUUUUAAGUCUAUCUAUUAAUAAUUUAAUUAAACUAAUCAAGAUGUUACAAAUCAUCUACAUAACAGUGGGACGACAAGACCCUAGCAAACUUAAAAUUUAGUUGGGGCAACAAUUUAAAAACACCUUAUUCUCCCAAUAAACUCAACCAAAAAUCUGACAUAGACUAGUUACUGUAGGGAUAACAGCGCUAUUUCUUUUAAGAGUUCUUAUCUAAAAAGAAGAUUACGACCUCGAUGUUGAAUUAAUUUCCCUUCAUGGUGUAAAAGCUAUGCCCAGGUAGUCUGUUCGACUAUUAAAAAAUU